AUUGAACGCUGGCGGCAGGCCUAACACAUGCAAGUCGAGCGAGCGGCGGACGGGUGAGUAAUGUCUGGGAAACUGCCUGAUGGAGGGGGAUAACUACUGGAAACGGUAGCUAAUACCGCAUACCAUCAGAUGUGCCCAGAUGGGAUUAGCUAGUAGGUGGGUGAACGGCGCACCUAGGCGACGAUCCCUAGCUGGUCUGAGAGGAUGACCAGCCACACUGCAACUGCGACACGGUCCAUACUCCUACGGGAGGACGCAGUGCGGAAUAUUGCACAAUGGGCGCAAGCCUGAUGCAGCCAUGCCGCGUGUGUGAAGAAGUCCUUCGGGUUGUAAAGCACUUUCAGCGGGGAGGCGUUACCCGCAGAAGAAGCACAGGCUAACUCCGUGCCAGCAGCCGCGGUAAUAC
rnacentral:rRNA from 1 species